rnacentral:lncRNA from 1 species
UGUAACACCCUUGUUAUUAUUUUAAAGGUUUUCGUAUAAUUAACGAAAAUAAACCUGUAAUUACGAUUGAGUAUCCUUGGAAAAUUACGAGUAAUUUAAAACUUUUACAACUUAAAAGUCUUCAACAUUAUAUAAAUAAGUUCGUCGUUAAAAGUUACGACGUAACGACGUGCGGAAGCUUUAAUCUCGUGUGUUCGGUUCUUCUUCGAGCUUGAUCUUCAUCCGGGCACUCUUGGCGAUCACCUAUGAACAAAACCAACUUAAAAGUUAGUUUUGAUAGUUAAAUAACAAGUUUAAACAAGUUAUAUGGGUCAAACAAACAAAAUUAAACAUUUUUGGGAUUCAUGGGGGGCGUCGCGCUACGCCUAGCCCCCAUUUCGACAGAAUGUUGUUUGUUGGUGCUGCAUAUUCUCAGCAUAACCCGAUUUCACGGAAACGGCCAUAACUUCUUCGUUAUUGAUCUGUUUUACGCGAUUCUUUUUUCCUACGCGUCCGUAAUUUAAUUCUCCAUCAUAUGAAGUUAAAAAUCCAACAUCCAACAUAAUAAAUUUUGAGACUUCUAGCCUUCGACUCGUUACCUUUUUACCGAAUUUUAACCCGUUUAUGCAUUUUAUCAAACAAACGUAUUUGUUUGAUCCUUAUAUCACAUACACUUCUUCAAAUUAAUGUUAUCUACCAUUUUAGGUUCUAAUCACAGGUUUAUUACACAAUUUAAACCCGUUUUCGCUCGUAUGCUUAUUCUGACCCGUUAAGGGUAUUUAAGCACUUUAAAG